rnacentral:misc_RNA from 1 species
AAGUCGUAACAAGGUUUCCGUAGGUGAACCUGCGGAAGGAUCAUUACCAAAGAACAACUGGUUGGGUUGUUGCUGGCCCCCUCUCCCUGGAAGGGGCACUGUGCACGCCUUGCCAAUUCACUUUGCUCACCUGUGCACCUCCUUGUAGGCCCAGGAUCACCAGAGAGGAAGAAGGGGGGGAAACGUGUCUCCUGUCGGAGUGCUCAACUUCUUUUCUUUUGCUUGGUGGAGGGAUCUGCUGUUGUGUCCUCACACGGAAUGGGUAUCUGUGAGAGAACAGAUAUAGACGGCUUUUUCCUUGCUCACGUCUGGCCUAUGCCUUUAUUUAAACCUGUAACAUCUGUAUCUGUAUGUGUAUUUGAACACGUGGGAUAACCACGAUUGUUUUUGAACACCAAUACAACUUUCAACAACGGAUCUCUUGGCUCUC